GACGAACGCUGGCGGCGUGCUUAACACAUGCAAGUCGAACGGAAAGGCCCUGCUUUUGUGGGGUGCUCGAGGGGCGAACGGGUGAGUAACACGUGAGUAACCUGCCCUAGACUUUGGGAUAACUUCAGGAAACUGGGGCUAAUACCGGAUAGGAGCUCCUGCUGGAUGGUGGGGGUGGGAAAGUUUCGGCGGGUGGGGAUGGACGCGCGGCUUAUCAGCUUGUUGGUGGGGGAGUUGCUUACCAAGGAUUUGACGGGUAGCCGGCCUGUGAGGGUGACCGGCCACAUUGGGACUGAGAUACGGCCCAGACUCCUACGGGAGGCAGCAGUGGGGAAUAUUGCACAAUGGGCGGAAGCCUGAUGCAGCAACGCCGCGUGCGGGAUGACGGCCUUCGGGUUGUAAACCGCUUUCGCCUGUGACGAAGCGUGAGUGACGGUAAUGGGUAAAGAAGCACCGGCUAACUACGUG
rnacentral:rRNA from 1 species